rnacentral:rRNA from 1 species
UGCCACUGCCGUAUCACCCUGCAGCCUAAGACCGGUUACUCACUGAAGCUAAGCAGGGCUGAGCCUGGUCAGUACCCGGAUGGGAGACCAUAUGGGAUAAACUAGGUUGCUGUUGGAA